rnacentral:rRNA from 1 species
GCGUAAGCGCACGCAGGCGGUCUGUUAAGUUGGAUGUGAAAUCCCCGGGCUUAACCUGGGAACUGCAUUCAAAACUGACAGGCUAGAGUCUCGUAGAGGGGGGUAGAAUUCCAGGUGUAGCGGUGAAAUGCGUAGAGAUCUGGAGGAAUACCGGUGGCGAAGGCGGCCCCCUGGACGAAGACUGACGCUCAGGUGCGAAAGCGUGAGGAGCAAACAGGAUUAUAUACCCUGGUAGUCCA